rnacentral:lncRNA from 1 species
UCUCUUUAAUUCUCAUCUUGAAGGAUGAGUGAAAAGGCAUGGUUGAUACUUGGCAGAGGAUUCAUCAUCAAGAUGCUUUCCCGAAUUUGACCAUAGUAGCCCAUGAGGAAUUGAAUCAACCUCUCAUCCUCUUGUAUUUUCUCCAAUAAUUGCUUUCCAUCACUCACACAAGUACAAUUACACUUCAUGUUUGAUUUUAAUGAAUCUAGUUCAUUCCAAAAAUGUCUUAGUUUGGUGAAAUAAGUUGCUACAUUGUUUAUUUUCUACGGUGAUAAUCCAUGUAGUUCCUUCUGUGGGUGAUAUAACUUUGCACCAAUGGAUUUUCCAAAUAUGUGUUCAAGGCUAGUCCACAGAUCUUUUGCAUAUUUAAAAUAAAUAUCACUGUCUCCAAUGUCUUUGGACAACGAAUUUAAUAACCAGGAGGUGACCAUAUCAUUGCACGUACUCCAUGGUUGAUGGUCCUUUGAAGUGGCAACAUAGACUGGGCAGCUUCCGUUGAUAAAUCUCAGCUUGUUCUUUACUGAAAAGGCUAUCAACACUGACCUUCUCCAACCUUGAAAACCUUUACCACCGAAGACUGUAUUCACUAGACUCAUCCCAGAAGCAUCUGAGGAGUGAAGGAAAUAGGGGGAUUUAGGUCAAGAUUGACUCGUUUUUUAGCAAUAGCUGGAGCUAUAGAGGUUUCAACGACAUUAGGCAUGAUGAAAUAGUUGAAUUAGUGGAAAAAAAUUAAAAAAGAAGAAUUGAUUUCUUCAGAAUCAAGCUACUACUCUAAUACCAUAAGAUAGGAGAAA